UUUCAGAAACUCAGAACUCCACUGGGGGCCCCCAAUGAAGGGAUCAGCCAACAUGCAGACCUCACGAGCCUAUUGCGGAGAACACACUGCUUGCAAAGGAAUUGAGCAAAUGAAGGGCUUGCUCUCUUUUAUCUGGCUGGAGCAGGCCUGUAGAAGCACUUUCUUCUAGCACCCAUGAGGUCAUUGCCUAGUCCUAGAGAUGAAUAAUGAAGCAUUUUCUCUAUGGAGGACAAUAUGUGGUGUCUGCAGCUCUUUCUAUCAGACAUGGAGAUUUGCAAGCCCCUGGCUGAUCUCUACCCAGCCACUUCUGCCUGGAUUCGGUCAGGGCAGCUCUAUGUGCCCCUAUCUGCUGGGCUGUGAGAACUGCCGUCUUCAGCGUGUGAGUCUUCAUGGGAGCAGAGGCGUGGGCUAAGAGUUUAAUAUUAUCACUUAAAACUUAAAAACUGGGUUGGGACUGAGUUAGAACAAACC